GGAAGGAUCAUUACAGAAUCGUCAACGGGUUGUUGCUGGUCCUCAAACGGGGACAUGUGCACGCUCUGUUUACACAUCCACUCACACCUGUGCACCCUCCGUAGUUCUGUGGUCUGGGGGACCCUGUCUUCCUGCCGUGGUUCUACGUCUUUACACACACACUGUAAUAAAGUCUUAUGGAAUGUAUGCCGCGUCUAACGCAAUACAAUACAACUUUCAGCAACGGAUCUCUUGGCUCUCGCAUCGAUGAAGAACGCAGCGAAAUGCGAUAAGUAAUGUGAAUUGCAGAAUUCAGUGAAUCAUCGAAUCUUUGAACGCACCUUGCGCCCCUUGGCUAUUCCGAGGGGCAUGCCUGUUUGAGUAUCAUGAACACCUCAACUCUCAUGGUUUGCCGUGAUGAGCUUGGACUCUGGGGGUUUUGCUGGCCUGCGGUCGGCUCCCCUCAAAUGAAUCAGCCUCCCAGUGUUUGGUGGCAUCACGGGUGUGAUAAAUAUCUACGCUCGCAGUUGUCCGCCAGGUAACCUUUGGUAACAAAGGUUCGCUGGAGCUCACAGAUGUCUCUCCUCAGCGAGGACAGCUUUUUGAACGUUCGAUCUCAAAUCAGG
rnacentral:rRNA from 1 species